rnacentral:tRNA from 2 species
GGCUAGGUAGCUCAGUGGUAGAGCAGAAGAAUCAUAAUCUUUUGGCCGUGGGUUCGAAUCCCUCCUUAGCCA